UCAUUUUUGAGACAGAGAGAGACCCGAGCAUGAACAGGGGAGGGGCAGAGAGAGGGGGAGACACAGAAUCUGAAGCAGGCUCCAGGCUCUGAGCUGUCAGCACAGAGCCCGACGUGGGGCUUGAACUCACGGACUGUGAGAUCGUGACCUGAGCGGAAGUCAGACACUUAACCCACCGAGCCACCCAGGUGCCCCUAAGCAGCCUGCUUUGUAAACAUAAAUUUGCUUCAUGGGUCUAUUGUUCUUUUUAACAGUCCUCAACCCAUCACCCACCCUCAAAUGUUUAUUUGAUUUUUUUUUUUCCCCACAGAAUCUGAUACAAAUUCUUGACACAAUGGAGGUGAUGAAUAAAUAUACUUGCCUGAGUGAUCUGACAGUCUCUGCAGAGCAGUCCCAGAAAGCAGCAUAAAAAGAUUCCUAAACUCACCUCCUCCUGUGGACAGCAAUAUAAAGCAUAUUUUUCCUGAGGAGGAACUGAAGGCUGAUUAAACAGCUUCUGCACAACAAAUGAUAGCAGAAUCACAUAGAGAAGAGAUGAAGCCAUAGUAACUACAAAACACCUAUGCUAGACACAGCGACAUACAGAAGGGAAGAGUAUCAUCAAGGAGUCUGUGCACAGAUUUGCCCACCCUAAGGCACAGUAAAAACAACAACAAUGGUUUAAAGGACAACUGGACUGUGAAAGUUUUGAGAAGAUGGUGGAAUAGGAGAAUCCUGAGCUCGGGUCCUCUCAUAGAAGUAUCAAGAUAAGAGCUACAUCUGUGAGACUAACUCUGAAACGACCUCAAGACUGGCAGAACAGACCUUCCAUAGCCAACUGUGGAUAGAAGGCCACCUCAAAACGGGUAAGAGGGGCGGAGACAGAGUUGGGAACCAUAACCCUGGGUAGGACUAACCUCAAACAGAAGGGACAUUACAAGCUCAGAAGAGGGAGAAAAUCAGACUCCUAUCAGACACUGGGGACCUGCACUGGAAGGACCAGUUUCUAUAACAUUUGGCUUUGAAAACCAGCACAGUUAAAACUCUAGGAGAGCAGGAGGGUGAUAUGAAAAUGAGCUCCUGCACAUGAAAAUCCAGCAACUAAAUAACUCAGCCCGAGACACAGCACAGGAAGAGGAGUUUGAAAGAUCCUGGGCUAUACAUGAAUGAGAU
rnacentral:lncRNA from 1 species